CAGUAGCCGCGGGAAUACGGAGGGGGCUAGCGUUGUUCGGAAUUACUGGGCGUAAAGCGUACGUAGGCGGCUUUGUAAGUUAGAGGUGAAAGCCUGGUGCUCAACACCAGAACUGCCUUUAAGACUGCAUCGCUUGAACGUCGGAGAGGUGAGUGGAAUUCCGAGUGUAGAGGUGAAAUUCGUAGAUAUUCGGAAGAACACCAGUGGCGAAGGCGGCUCACUGGCUCAUACUGGACGCUGAGGUGCGAAAGCGUGGGGAGCAAACAGGAUUAGAUACCCGGGUAGUCCUGUCUCUUAUACA
rnacentral:rRNA from 1 species